ACCUCCAGCGCGUCGCUGCCUCCUGCCACGCCCCACCCUGCCUCACCGCGCGCCGCUGGCCGCCGCCGCCCACCUCGCUGGCGCGCCUACCCCUACCCCGAGUGCCCCCACACCCGCAGCCUUCCACUGCCGGCGACCCGUGGCCUGCCACCGCCGACGACGAGGAACUGUCGGAUCUCGAUGAAUCCGGUGAGGGAUGGCGCGUAGGCAGCGAAUCUGGAAGGAAGGCGGCCGGGGCUUGAAGCACGACGGCUGGACGGCACACCAUGGCAUUGGGGGGAGGGGGGCGUCCGAUGCUCCGCCCGUUUGUGUCCGCGCGAGGAGCUCACCCCCAAAGAACUCCUCGGGCGUCCUGCGGGCCCAGGCCGGAGGCGGCAGUUCCCAGCGCGGGGGCCGACAGGAAGGUGCCGAUUCGGAUCUCCGGGGCUGACAACGCGCCUGGCGCCGACGGGGAACGCGGGAGGGCAGCAGCUCACGGACGAGGAGGCCCCCGCGGCGUGGGGGGGCCUCGAGGCCGGCGCGGGCGGCGGGAGGGGGGACUCGCCGUACCAGGGCUAUGAGGUGCAGCGUCUGGCGAGGUGGGUGGACCACGCGCUGCCCUUCUCCCUGCUCCUCCUCGGCGUCUUCAUCCGCCAGCACCUGCAAGGUUUCUUCGUAAUGAUUUGGAUUACCGCAGUCAUGUUCAAGUCCAAUGAUAUCUUGCGCAAGCAGACCGCUCUUAAGGCUACAAGGUUGGGGGAGCGACCCUGCCAUUGUCAUGACGGCUGCUCCUUCUGGCCGGAUCGAGGCAUGAAGACCUGUGGGAUCCCCUCCUUCGGCAGGACCUCCUCAUCUGGAGGACUGCAUGUGAUGAGUUAAGGCACAAGAAGAUCUACGACCAUUUUAGCUCCAGCAGUUAGUACACAACCAAUCAACAGUGCAUUUUCACGACCCAGGCUUCUGAAUUCUGACUGACAGGCUCGCAGGCACAGCCACAUCUAAUCUCACGCAUUCAAAAUGCUAGCUACAUGAAAUACGCCCAGAUUUACGAGUAGAAAUCCAAGGCAUUGCAGUCCAAUUGUUCUAAGGAUUGGAACCAGACGUGUGGCUCAAUACUGCUUGGAACAUCUAGAGGACCUUUGCAAUCUUAUCAAGCUUGACGCUAAACUGGCACUCUUACUUGAUCCCAUAUUACUCCUUCGAACAAUUUGUGCGCAAAGUUGAGGAAAUUGGGGCCAAUAAUCGUGUUAGAAUAAACUUCUUUCUUUCUUUUUCCAUACUGCGGGGCAGCAGGAUCUGAGUCCCACUACAUCGCCCUUUGAGAGCAAGGACCACCGAAUGGAAGGAGAUGCCAUCCUUGACUGUCGUUGUCUUUGGCAUGUUGCUACCAUUUUUUAAUCCUUGCACUGCAGAAACCUCAGUCUAUCCAUGUAGGUCAUGCCUUCUAAUCAGUUUUUUGACUCUUAUGUAUGUGUGUGCUCUUGCAUUACUUACUGGAUCUUGUUGUAUACGAUGAUCCAUUGUCAGCUAUACAAAGGCUCUGAAUUAAAAAAUUUGUCAAGUUCGGUUUAGAUUUAAUUUUCUUCCACCUCUUUUUGAAUGGACAAUGUGUGUGCUGUUUAAACGAACACUAUGUGAAAUUCAUAGGCAUUGUGAGUGCAUGGAGAAAGGAUUCGAUUUUUAUUCUUUUUUUCAGCGUUCAGAGCUGUUACCUGCUACACCUACACACAUGGAAAACUUAAACUUAGCAGUCCAAAAAUAAGCAGCAAACUUUACUGCCGGUCAUCUAAAAAUUCAGUGACAACUGCUGACACACGAGCAGCUUCAUUUUGUAGUAGAGUUAGUAGAUGAUGCAGAUGACAGUUCUACCUGCAGGAGGUCCUAGAGGAUCCUUAAAUAUUGUACUACAUAAUCUCUUUCCAGAUUCUUGAAACUUGCACUCUUCUGUUGAAUUUCGCAUUUUGGUUGAUCUGUACUGCUUCUUUUAUUGUUGUCAGCCUAGAAUUAUAUCGCAUUUUAAUCUUUAAUGGGAAGAUUCAUAAUUAUGCUUUCAUACCAAUUUGACUGCAUGGUUUAAUUAGUGGCUGCAAUAUUAUUUCAUGGUCCACAACAGAACUAAAUGUGUCAAAAUGAAACAUUCUUCUUCCCAUGUAUCAAAGUAUUAAGCAACCAAAUAUGUUAGUAUCUAAAUUGUUAUGCUUAGGAUGAUAUAUUUCAAAGAGCCACAUGUGCCCAAAACAAUGGUGCCAAGUGCGUAGACAAUGAAGCAUUACCCUUUCUUGCUAAGGGAUUUGCUAGGAAAAACCAUCUCCGGAAAAAUAGGGCCAAAUUUGAAUUCUAAUAGAGUUGAAGAGACAUAGAGAAAGAGACAGGGAUAAUACUUCCUUGUGGGCUUCCUGAGAAUCUACAAUGAAGAAUAAGAAGGGUGUAGUAACUAAGUAUGCAUGUCAUAACUAAUUCUAUUGAAAAUAGUUAUUCAGGAAAAUUAAGCUAUAUUGAAAUGUUGCAUGAUUCAGAUAUUGGGUCUAUGAAGAUUUGUUUAUGCCAUAAAAAUGCAUAAAUAAAGUCUCGUGUGGCUAUGUAAUUCACUUGUUAUAUGUCAAGUUCGAGCUCCUAAGAACAGGGUGAAACUGUUUGUUCC